UCGGGGGGCUCGGUGCGGUCCCCCCCCGGCCAUGUGGCUGUGCGGAGGGCGGCGGCAGCGCCGCCUCGGGGGCGCCGCGCUGUCCCUCUUCGUGCUGUGGCUGCUGCUGCGCAGGUUUAACUGGAGCGAGCUGACCCCUCUGGGGCUGUGGGGAAGGACCCUUGGCUUGCAGACAGAGAACUCCCAGUUCCUGCUGGAAGGAAUGCCCUUCCGCAUAUUUGGGGGUUCCAUGCACUAUUUCCGAGUGCCCAGGGAAUACUGGGAAGAUCGGAUGCUCAAAAUGAAAGCCUGUGGCUUAAACACCCUCACCACGUACGUGCCGUGGAACCUCCAUGAGAGAGAAAGAGGGAAGUUUGACUUCAAGCGGAACCUGGAUCUAGAGGCCUUCCUUUCCCUGGCAGCUAAAAAUGGGCUGUGGGUGAUUCUGCGACCUGGACCUUACAUCUGCUCAGAAUGGGACCUUGGUGGUCUGCCCAGCUGGCUGCUGCAAGACCCCGAGAUGCAGCUGAGAACAACCUACAAGGGCUUCACAGAGGCCGUGGAUGCCUAUUUUGAUCGCCUGAUGCGUGUUGUUGUCCCCUUCCAGUACAAGAAAGGAGGUCCCAUCAUUGCAGUGCAAGUGGAGAACGAAUACGGUUCCUACGCCAAAGAUCCCAGCUACAUGGCCUAUGUCAAAAUGGCCCUGUUAAAGAGAGGGAUUGUGGAACUGUUGAUGACCUCAGACAACAAGAAUGGGCUGUCAUUUGGCUUGGUGGAAGGAGCACUGGCCACUGUAAACUUCCAGAAACUGGAACCUGGGAUACUGAAAUAUCUGGAUGCAGUGCAGAGAGAUCAGCCAAAGAUGGUGAUGGAGUACUGGACUGGGUGGUUUGAUAACUGGGGAGGCCCUCACUAUGUCUUUGAUGCAGAUGAAAUGGUGACCACUGUGGCCAGUAUCCUCAAAACAGGAGCAUCCAUCAACCUCUACAUGUUCCACGGAGGCACCAACUUCGGCUUCAUGAAUGGGGCUCUGGAAGCUGAUGAGUACAAGUCAGAUGUCACCAGUUAUGAUUAUGAUGCUGUGCUGACAGAGGCUGGAGACUACACAUCCAAAUUCUUCAAGCUCAGACAACUCUUCAGCGUGAUCAUUGGCCAUCCUCUUCCUCUGCCUCCCCUGAUUGAAAGCAAGGCAUCAUAUGGUGCAAUCCUGUUGCAUCAGUACAUCUCUCUCUGGGAUGUGUUACCAUCUCUUUUACAGCCCAUGAAGUCAGAAUUUCCUGUUAACAUGGAGAAUUUGCAUCUAAACGACAGCACUGGGCAGUCCUUUGGGUAUGUGCUCUACGAGACUGUCAUUUUUGGGGGUGGCCAACUGCACACCAGGAACCACGUCCGGGACCGAGCACAGGUGUUUGUUAACACUGUGUAUGUGGGUGAGCUGGACUACAACACAGUGGAGCUCUUCAUUCCUGAGGGACAGGGCUUCAGGCAGCUGAAGCUCCUGGUGGAGAACCGUGGGCGUGUCAAUUAUGGCCUGGCGCUGAAUGAACAGAGGAAAGGCUUAAUUGGUGACGUCUUCUUGAAUAAAACCCCCUUGAGGAACUUCAAGAUUUACAGUCUGGAGAUGAAACCUCCCUUCAUGGAAAGCCUGCAGAAAGUUUCUGGAUGGAGCUCAGUGCCAGAUUACUUUGUUGGUCCAGCGUUUUUCCGUGGAAGGCUGUGGAUAGAGCAGCAGCCACAGGACACUUUCCUGAAGCUACAGGGCUGGGAGAAAGGAGUGGUGUUUGUCAGUGGGCAGAACCUGGGCCGCUACUGGAAAAUCGGACCUCAGGAGACUCUCUACCUUCCUGGGCCCUGGUUAAAGAAAGGGGACAAUGAGAUUGUCCUCUUCGAGGAGCGCACGGCGGGACGGAUCAUCCAGUCUGUGGACAUCCCUUACUUAGGAAGGACCCAGUAUGUCAACUGAGGAGGAGAGCUGCUUUCCCAUGUUUGGUUCAUCCUGAACAUUCCUGGUUGCAUGUCUGGGGACAUGAUGGGCAUGCUAAUCUCCACUAGACCAAGGGUUUGCAGACUGAAGGGAACUUGGGAAGCCAAUACAACAGGAGGAUUAAUCUGCUGGAGUGCAGAGAGCUACUGUUUUAAUCCAGGAUAACAACACCCGUUCCCAGCAGCAUCCCACACUUUCUAUCCUAGUAGUGCUUCAGCCAUUGCAUCUAAAGGAACGUUUUUGUAAAGGCUUCUGUGGCUGGGAACUACAGAAUGCAACUUUUCUCCAAUGGUUCUGAUAUACAGAGGGAGAAAAUAACUUACAAAAAAAAAUAUUUUCCUUUGAAAUAUCAGGAAAUACACAAUGUCGUUAGUCCAAGGGGAGACUUCUGCACUGUGAAGCCAACAAUCAAACCCAGAGCAUUUUAAUAGCUCUACCUGUUGGGGCUAAAAAUAAC